UACGUAGGGUGCGAGCGUUGUCCGGAUUUAUUGGGCGUAAAGGGCUCGUAGGCGGCCUGUCGCGUCGGGAGUGAAAGCCCACUGCUUAACGGUGGGUCUGCUUCCGGUACGGGCGGGCUGGAGUAUGGCAGGGGAGACUGGAAUUCCUGGUGUAGCGGUGAAAUGCGCAGAUAUCAGGAGGAACACCGGUGGCGAAGGCGGGUCUCUGGGACGGUACUGACGCUGAGACGCGAAAGCGUGGGGAGCGAACAGG
rnacentral:rRNA from 1 species